rfam:Lactobacillus lindneri DSM 20690 = JCM 11027 strain DSM 20690 NODE_5, whole genome shotgun sequence.
CUCUGGAUUUUAUAAAUUCAGGGCAAAAGGAG